AUUUGCGACUACUCAGGCGCAUGCGCAUACUGAAAGAGGCCUGAGAAUGCGGAGCUCCAGGACGCAGGUCUUUCAGAGCGGUGACGUAGACAGGUGCGCUGAAUUCCCUGUCCGCUCCAAUCCGGAAGCCCGACAGAAGACCUGAAACAUCCAAUGGACCCACCAAACAUCCUUAAUGAUGCAGUCAGGUACAUAAAAAGUCCAGAUACAGCAAGUUUCUUCAUACCGAUGAUGUCAUCAGUUACCAUCUCCAGAGCUUUUUAUGUCACAGAUCUCAUCACACAGAAAAGAAUCCUCUCGUUGUGCUGGAAGCUAAUCCAGAGUUUGUCUGAUG